UUUGAAGUAAAGGCCUGUUUUAUACGUUUCCUAAGUAGUAAUCCCCAUAAAACCAACAGUUUGGUGUACUCAGCAGGUUUUUUCUAGCACAAAAGAAAACACGCUUAUCCCUAAAGUCUCAGAGAUCAUCUCUUGCGUUCUGGUGGCACAUGCGCCUCAUCCCAGGCAACACUGAUUUGAUUAUGCUAAGGCAGGUUGCCAGAGAGACUGACUCUCCCUCAUUAACUUGGUCCUCUCUCUCCCCAGCAGUGCCUUUCCUGAGUUACACUUUAACCACCCCAGGCCGUUUAUUCUCCGUGAACCCAGGCUGCCUUUCAUGGGAAUCUGAAACUGAGAGAAUGUGGAAUGGCCUCCUUUCCAAGAGCUGCUUGGUUCUCACCCGUCUUGAGUCCUGCUUGUUCAGGGCCUCUUGGAUGUCAGUAUAUCCCCAGUUUGCUUAAGUUCCCUCAAGUUCAUCCUGAAGAACCUUAGCAGUUCAAACUCUGGUAAGUGAUGGAGUCAGUGCUUGAAUCCAGGUCCAUUUGACACCCAUGUCCACACUCUUGACCACGUGCUGUUUUCAGGCGUUUGAUGCUGAGUCACUUCAUGUCCUUUUGCUCUCUCUUUCUCUUCUCCUCUGCCAUGAUGACUUUGGAGACCACAAAUUGCAAAUGAUGUUAGCUACAAGAUGGAGAAGAGCUGCUGACCUGCUGAGGACUACGGCUUGAAUGAGUGUGGCAGCUAGUCUUCAAAGACAGCCCCAGUAAAUCACACCUCC
rnacentral:lncRNA from 1 species